UACGUAGGGAGCAAGCGUUGUUCGGAUUUACUGGGCGUAAAGGGCGCGUAGGCGGCAACUCAAGUCAUCUGUGAAAUCUCCGGGCUUAACUCGGAACGGUCAGAUGAUACUGUUUUGCUAGAGUGCAGAAGGGGCAAUCGGAAUUCUUGGUGUAGCGGUGAAAUGCGUAGAUAUCAAGAGGAACACCUGAGGUGAAGACGGGUUGCUGGGCUGACACGUGACGCUGAGGCGCGAAAGCCAGGGGAGCAAACGGG
rnacentral:rRNA from 1 species